rnacentral:rRNA from 2 species
ACGGGAGGCAGCAGUGGGGAAUAUUGCACAAUGGGGGAAACCCUGAUGCAGCGACGCCGCGUGAAGGAUGAAGUAUUUCGGUAUGUAAACUUCUAUCAGCAAGGAAGAUAAUGACGGUACUUGACUAAGAAGCCCCGGCUAACUACGUGCCAGCAGCCGCGGUAAUACGUAGGGGGCAAGCGUUAUCCGGAUUUACUGGGUGUAAAGGGAGCGUAGACGGUACGGCAAGUCAGAUGUGAAAGCCCGGGGCUCAACCCCGUGGAUUGCAUUUGAAACUGUCGAACUAGAGUGCAGGAGAGGUAAGUGGAAUUCCUAGUGUAGCGGUGAAAUGCGUAGAUAUUAGGAGGAACACCAGUGGCGAAGGCGGCUUACUGGACUGUAACUGACGUUGAGGCUCGAAAGCGUGGGGAGCAAACAGGAUUAGAUACCCUGGUA